UCCUUGGUGGUCCAGUGGCUAAGACUCUGCACUCACAAUGCAGAGGCCCUGAGUUCAAUCCCUGCUUAGGGA
rnacentral:tRNA from 1 species